rnacentral:tRNA from 1 species
GCGCCGAUGGUUUAGUGGUAAAAUUCUCCGUUGCCAUCCUGCAGCGUCGGGGAGCCGGGGGUUCGAUUCCCCCUCGGCGCA